rnacentral:lncRNA from 1 species
GAAGAGGCGAGAGGUGUUAGGAAGGCUGCUGGAUGGAGUGGCUGAGGAUGCGCGCCUGGGUCGGGAUAGUGAGAUCCACAGGGAGCAGAUGGAGCGCCUGGUGCGGGAAGAGCUGGAGCGCUGGGAAUCGGAUGACGCAGCUUCACAGUCAGGUCACGGUCUAGGCACACAAGUGGGACUCGGUGGCCAGUCGCACCCCAGAAGCUCCCGGCCCCCUUCCUCCCAGUCUGCAGAGGGCCUGGAAGGCGGAGGUGGAAACGGAAGUACCAACGCGCAUGCGUAACAAUCCACACGUGUUUGUCCCUGAGACGCGGAGAGGUGGUUGUCCGGUAUGGUAGUGACAAGUUCGGUAUUUAUAUACCCCGGCUGCAUUGUGAUGCUGGUCUUUGUGACCAAUUGUUAUAAUUUUCUGCACUUUAAUUUAUUUUACGUAAACUUAACCCGUGGUUCGAGGAAGGUUGUUUUACUUUUUUCUCAUAUGAGAAAUAUAGAUGUAAAUAUUGAGUUCAGAAAGAAGAGAAAUUUGAAAGUAUACUGAGUUGCUGCCCUAUCCAAACCUCCAGCUAACUGCUGAGCGGACAGGUUACUUUCUGCAGGAGCGAGGUGUGCCAUGGUUCCCUGAUCUGAGGGCUCCAUGCCAACCAUUCUCUUUUGAGUAUGCUAUGCUAGCUUUUUUCUCCCUAGGUGUUAGAUUUUGCAUUCCAGGGAUAUCAUUGUGUGUAUGUAUUUAUGUAUGCGUACUUUGCUGUUACAAGUAAACAAACUUCAAUUUGAAGUGCACUCAAUAUGUGGUAUCCAUAUGUAUCGACCAUGUGCCAUAUAUCUACUAUGGUCACUAGCACGUCUUUAAUGAUGCUUGUUAUUACAUCGUCGCUUCUUUUUCAUUCAACUUGCAGAACUUUUGUAGAAUUCUUUUUUUCCCUUUACAUAUAAGUUCAUAUAUUUUUCUACUUCAGUCCUGUGAAGCUUAUCCCCAAUCACUUUUCUAUUAGUCUCCCCUCUGUAUAUGAGGGGAGUUAUUACAUAUACAAGGUUCUUUUGACAAUCAACAAUUUCUUAACUGUAAUAAUGUGUACAUUACUUAAUAAAGACUUGACAUGCUACCGUGGUGU